AUCGGCCUCACCCCGGGGGGCCCCUCCCCUCUGUCCCUCCAACACGGACUAUCUUGUUUUGCAGCCUGUCACCUCCCCACCCUGUGCUCAGGGCGCUGGGGUUACUGAGCAUCCUUCCCGAAAACUCAAAGACUUGCUGCCUUCGGCUCAACCCAGACCAGACUGACAGCUGGUUCGCCUUUGAAGGGAAGUCCUUUGAUUCUAGCUAUUCUACUGGGCUUCUCUGGCGGCUUAGAUGGUAAAGCGUCUGCCUGCAAUGCGGGAGACCUGGGUUCAAUCCCUGGGUCGGGAAGAUCUCCUGGAGAAGGAAAAGGCAACCCACUCCAGUGUUAUGGCCUGAAGAAUUCCAUGAACUGUAUAGUCCAUGCGGUCACAAAGAGUCAGCACCUCACAGCUUGUGGGAUCUUAGUUCCCCGAAUAGGAAUAGAACCUUGUGCCCUCAGCACUGAAUGUGUGGAGUCUUAGCCACUGGAAUGCCAGGGAAUUUUUAGUUUCUUAUAAAGCUUUCAGGCUUCCCUUGUAGCUCAGCUGGUAAAGAAUCCACCUGCCAUGCAGGAGACCUGGGUUUGAUCCCUGGUUGGGAAGAUCCCCUGGAGAAGGGAAAGGCUACCCACUCCAGUAUUCUGGCCUGAAGAAUUCCAUGGACUGUAUAGUCCAUGGGGUCACAAAGAGUCAGACACGACUGAGUGACUUUCGCUUUCACUAUAAAGCAUUCACCUCCAAAAUGACCAAGCAAUUCCACUAGUAAAUAUUUACC
ensembl:lncRNA